AUCAAUACAUUUAAACCCUU
rnacentral:snRNA from 1 species